ensembl:lncRNA
GUGUAGUGUGGCAAAGGAGGGAAUAGAAGGGAGAUGGAGAGAGAGAAAGAGAUGUCCUGAAUCUUUUUUGGACUGGGCUGGAGACACCAUUGAGCUUUGUUUGUAGUCUCUGUUUCCAGAGUUUCGUAGACUUUGUAUCACCAUGGGUAACUCACUGGAACUGCGUCAAUAUUUCUGUCUGCUAUUCUGCUUCUUCCCAGUUCAUCUGCAAGGUUUGGAAGUCCUUGACCCUGAAGAGGUUGAGUACGUACAGAAGCAGGCCAAGGCAGUGCCUGGGGGCUCUGUAGUCCUGGAUUGUGGAGCUGUAAUGCCCACCAUCUUCAUCUGGUCCUACUCCAAACCAGGCAUUGAGAGCAACCAGGCUUUGGCCUAUAACUACGGCCAUGGGCUGAAGGUUCAACCACUGGCUAAAAACCUGGGUGACAUGGACCUCCUCUCCAACAGCUCUACCAUGGUCAUCAACAACCUGCUAGGCAAUGCAGAAGGGCUGUACACCUGCCAGGCACUGUAUGACGGAGAGGACAAGGCGACAAUUAAAUUCUACUACAACCACCUAGACUUUGACGAUAAAGGUGAUCGUGGAAAAGAUCUGUCCAACUCAACGCUGACCUGACUGUGCACUGCAAACUGGCCCAAGAUCAGAUGUAGGAUGGAGAGCAUAGUCAGUGGUUAAAGAAUCGGUUCCCUGUGCAGCCUCUCAGUAGAGACAAACGGAAAAAUGUUUUAACAAUUUGUCAUAGUUUUCACUCAAUCGUCAGCAUAAAAUCUUACUCGUGUUGUAAACCUUUUUUUUCUGAAAAUGAUCACAACAUAGUGAUGGAUAAAAUGCUGCAAUGGAUACAAUUUUGCUAAUAACAAUGCAAGAUCAUUUAUGUUAAUAAUAUAGCUGUUACAUAUAUUUGUUCUACCAUCAAAAAGACAUUCAUCACGCUACUUGCUCCUUCCUAAGACUAUUGGCUGAAUUUGGUGUGUAAGCGGUGAAUUAGAACAGCUGUGGGUGCUUCUGGCAGAUUAUCUGAUAUCCCUGUGUUGCUGUUCCUCCUGGAGCAACAUUGGUGCGUUGGGGGUUAAAGGGUAGUGUUACACCGGUAUAUCAGAUUCUGUUCUUUUUUUCUGAUAAGUACACUGUAGUUCUUGUUUUAUUAGUCACCAUCUCAGCGAAGACUGGUUUUGGGCUGAAUUUUGGCAUUUACAGUGUUAGCGUUUGAACUAUUAUAAGUGACAUUAACAUACAUGUAGAUGUUCUUGCAAGCUUUAAUGUACUGUGCUUUCUGAAAAUGUUGCCCUGCACUGGUUAUUUUUGUGGAAGGGAAUGCAGUUUUGCUUUGACCAUUAUUAUCUUAUGCUUAAAUGAGAGGCUCCAUCUCUGUUGUGGCGCAGCCACUGCAUUUCUGAGAAGUCCCAGAAUUGUAAACAACAAAUUGCUUGUGGUUGAAUGUUCUCAUGGCUCAAUCAAACCGAGAGUUUUUUUUCUUUCUGGCUUAGCAUAAAUGACUGAAAAUGUAAACUAAAAAAAAGUAAUUAAAAGCUUCUCUUCUAACUCAGGCAUUAUCACACUAUUCACCAAGGCUGAACUACCCACUAUAGGGAGACAGCAAAAAAUUUGACGUAGUGGUUCUGAAAAUUAGAAAGUGAGAUGCAAUAGUUUCAGAAUGCUUCUCUUGUUCACACGUGAACUCGAAUAAAAUGAAAAGCCGGCCCCUUACUCA